rnacentral:rRNA from 1 species
GCAUUGCCCGGUAGCUAUGUUCGGACGGGAUAACCGCUGAAAGCAUCUAAGCGGGAAGCCCCUCCCAAGAUAAGUUCUCCCUGACCUCUUGAAGGUCCUGAAGGGCCGUGGAAGACUACCACGUUGAUAGGCUGGGUGUGGAAGCGCUGUGAGGCGUUGAGCUAACCAGUACUAAUUGCCCGUGAGGCUUGACCAUAUAAUCCA